AUGCAAAAUAUUCCCUGUUCUCAAACGAAGGCAGGUAAUAUCUGUCACCAGAAUAGGAAAACUGAGAGAACACUAAGAGAAAGAAAGUAAGAAGCUGGAAGGGAAAGAGAAAAACUGAAAAGAAAUGAGAAUGUGGAAGGAGUAAAGCUCCAACCUACGAGAAAAACCAAGACUGAAAAAGUUGUGAAGAGACUGACCGAACCAAACAGGAGAGUAAAAUCUGCACCAGCUGGCGGGAUAAGGGUGACAGGAAGUGAGUUAAUUCAAAAAAGGGUAGUGUGGGGUUUCCACUGUUCUCCUUGAUCUCCUGUUCUUUACAGUGGAAAAUAACAGGAUUCUGACUGAAGAAACACAACCUCUUCAUUGCGUGUCUGGAAGGACGAGAAGAGCAGAAGACAUUCAGAGGUGUUCACUCAUGAGGCAUCCACUCGGAAUCUUCGAAGAAAAGCUUUGUGGUGUCACAGAAUGUGACGGUGGCAUCUAUGUGGUCAUGCAACCCUCAGGUUGAAGGGGACCUCUGCUGUCUAAUCUAAUGUGUUCCUUUUGCAAAUGAGAAAAUCAAGAUCCAUCCAGAUGACUGAAGAGACAACAAAAGUUGAGAGACUGUGUUAUUGAGCUACGCUUGGGAAUUGAACCCAAAUUUUCUGCUCCUGUCAUGUGCUUUGACAGCUGCUGCUGGAGCUGACCAUUUAUUUCUCAUUGUGAAUGGUUGGUCCCAGACAGCAUUGGGCUCCUGCCAGCUGCUCACCCCUCAUGGCUCUGAUGCCAGAAACAAUAGGGGGCUACGAAAGGUUUCCAAGCAGGGGAGUGAUGUAACAAAACUGGGUUAGCACUGGAUUAUUCUAGCAGUGUGGUGAGCACGUGGGGAAGAUAAAGAAAUCACAGCACCAUAAAGUCCCGAUGAAGCACCUGUGAGAUCAUAGAAAUCCUUGGAGAUUUGCCUGGGUUCCUGCCUACUCUCGAGGCAAACCCAAGGUAAGGAUCACAUUUCCCGUAAGUGAGACAGAAUGUUUAGAGGAGGAGGACAUGGAAUUGUUGAUUUUCUGAGAGUAAAAGAAUUUCAUUUACAUCAAGAGAAAAUGUGUCUGUACAUUAAAUAAAUAUUCUUUCCUAGGAGAGGAAAACAGAAAUG